rnacentral:rRNA from 1 species
GCGGAGGCAGCAGUGGGGAAUUUUGGACAAUGGACGCAAGUCUGAUCCAGCCAUGCCGCGUGCGGGAAGAAGGCCUUCGGGUUGUAAACCGCUUUUGUCAGGGAAGAAAUCUUCUGGGUUAAUACCUCGGGAGGAUGACGGUACCUGAAGAAUAAGCACCGGCUAACUACGUGCCAGCAGCCGCGGUAAUACGUAGGGUGCAAGCGUUAAUCGGAAUUACUGGGCGUAAAGCGUGCGCAGGCGGUUAUGUAAGACAGAUGUGAAAUCCCCGGGCUCAACCUGGGAACUGCAUUUGUGACUGCAUAGCUUGAGUGCGGCAGAGGGGGAUGGAAUUCCGCGUGUAGCAGUGAAAUGCGUAGAUAUGCGGAGGAACACCGAUGGCGAAGGCAAUCCCCUGGGCCUGCACUGACGCUCAUGCACGAAAGCGUGGGGAGCAAACAGGAUUAGAUACCCGGGUAC